rnacentral:lncRNA from 1 species
AUGGCAUUGACCUUGAUGGAAUCCAGGGUUUCCCAGCUGAGCUCCUGCACUAGGAAUUCACAGACCCGCAUCCUUCACGUUGAAGCAGGCUUCUGGCUGGGAAGUAUAACAUCAAGAGGAGGUCAUUGCCUACAAGGACUCACAGACAGGGUCAAAGGACACCGUCAUGGUGAAAAUGUCAAAGUUGCCUCACUUGGACCACACUGGGAAGAGGGCUUGACUCCUGAACUGAGAUGGUCUGGGCCCACCAGCUGUGACACCAGUGGUCCCAGUUGCAAGGAGCUGAGAUGACUCGGGGGAGGAGCUAAAGAACAGGACUCAUGACACCAAUACCAGCCCCUCACCCUGCUCUCUGGUGGCACAUCAUUUAUACCUCUGUUAAAUCCCUCACCUUGGGUUUGCACUGUAUAGAGGACUGACUGUGUCCUCCACUACCAACAUGUGACCUCUGCAGACAAGAACAUGUAAUGCAUUUAUCCCUUUGUUCUCACAGCACCCACAACUCUGCUUUAAUAGAUUUGCUCAAUAAAUAUUAGAUGAAGUAAAUGUCUCCUUUCUAAAGCCUUCUCAAAAUUCUGCCUUUGGAACUAAGUAGCUCAUGACAUAGCAGUUAACUCAUAGGAAUAAAAGUUAUAUAUGAACUGAAAUAAAAAUUUCAGAAUUAUUCUCUGUGCUAUGUUAUUUUUUUUUUCUCCAGAUACAUUUUUUUUGCCUUCCUCUGCCAUGCUGGUACCCGGAGUAGGCUGAUAUCCAUAGGCACCUUACUCAUGCUCUCUUGCCAGCUGGCAAUAGUAGGUAUGCACAGGAGAUUGGGAAGUGGAAGGAGAUAGAUCAGAGUAUUUCUUCUACAUUCACUCAUCUCCUCAAGGGCAGCCCUCUGUCCAUGGUUCUGGUUUUUCCAGAACAUUCCUUUUUGUUUUACUCCUUCAUUAAAAACUAGUCCCUUUGAAGCCUGGGUGUCGUAGCAGUUGAGCGUCUGCCUUUGGCUCAGGGCACCUGGGAUCCACGAUCUAGUCCCGCAUCAGGCUCCCUGCAGGAAGCCUACUUUCUCCCUCUGCCUAUGUUUCUUCCUCUCUCUGUGUGUCUCUCAUGAAUAAAUAAAUAAAAUAUUUUAAAAACUAAAAAUAAAAACUAGUCCCUUCUUCGAUGUCUUUUGAUUUGCAUUAUCUGGGAGGAGUUCCGUUUUGCUGUGGCCCUGACUUCCACACUCUCUCACACCUAGAACUACCAGGGGUAGCUAAGACAACCAAAUUUUCCAGGAUAGACAGUUUUAAGAUAAAAUGUCUAAAGCAACAUGCAAAAGCAUAAGAAGAAGAGCUGAUUGUCAGAAUCAAGGCAAAGUUAGAAAAGGUAAAAAUAAAGUGAAGAUCUGAAUAGAAAUCAAUAGGAUAAGAGAACAGUAGUGAAAAGGGAGUUUUAAAAAAGAGCUCCUGGGGAUGAAGAAGAAUGUUAGAGAAUUAAGGAGACAAAGUCUGUGAGUAGGAACUGCACCACUAACAAAAGAGCUCAGAAACCGAUAUGCUAAUAUUCCUUAUGGAAUGGACACUUUCAGAUUUUGUGUUCAAACAGCAGGUCUGCAAUUUAAACCAAAGCCUUAGAGAAUUCAAGGGUUGGAAAAAAAGAGUGGCAUUAUUAACUCAACCUUCUAAUAUAUAUGUUUGAAAUUAUUCCUUACAUUGAUCGUACAGAAGACUUGGUUCCACGUAUUUGUGGAAAUUUCUCUAGAAAUCCUAUAUUACUAAAAAGCCAUUGAAA